CGCGUAGGUGGCUUUUCAAGCGCGCGGUGAAAGCCCGGGGCUCAACCCCGGGUCGGCCGUGCGGACUGGGAGGCUCGAGCACUGUAGGGGCGGGUGGAAUUCCGGGUGUAGCGGUGGAAUGCGUAGAGAUCCGGAAGAACACCGGUGGCGAAGGCGGCCCGCUGGGCAGGAAGACCUCGUAAGAGGUCGGCUGACACUGAGGCGCGACAGCGUGGGGAGCAAACA
rnacentral:rRNA from 1 species